ACUUCAACAACCAGAAUAUGUUUUUGAUAAAUAUUAAUAAUUACAGUAACUAAAGGAAUAUGAAUCAUAAGCAUGUGCUUAUCUAUUACAAGUACCUUUGAUGGUGAAAAUUACAUGUUUUAUCUGAAGAGAAUUGGGAGAAACGUUCAUAUUGAAGCGAGAUAUUGUGUAAUGAGGUUUUCAAAGAAGUCGUUUUAACAACAAUGGAAAAGCUUCCGAAUCCCGAGAUAAACGUGAAAGCAUUUGAUACAUGAUUAAAGAAUCGUUUAAAAGUUUGCUUAAUUUUGAC